UACGGAGGGUGCAAGCGUUAUCCGGAUUCACUGGGUUUAAAGGGUGCGUAGGCGGGCCGGAUAGUCAGGGGUGAAAGCCUCCAGCCCAACUGGAGAAGCGCCUUUGAUACUGUCGGCCUCGAGGGGUGCAGGGGCAUGCGGAACUCAGGGUGGAGCGGUGAAAUGCGUAGAUAUCCUGAGGAACACCGGUGGCGAAAGCGGCGUGCUGGACACCUUCUGACGCUGAGGCGCGAAAGCCAGGGGAGCGAACGGG
rnacentral:rRNA from 1 species